rnacentral:rRNA from 1 species
AGAACGCUGGCGGUAGGCCUAACACAUGCAAGUCGAACGGCAGCACAGAGGAGCUUGCUCCUUGGGUGGCGAGUGGCGGACGGGUGAGGAAUACAUCGGAAUCUACUUUUUCGUGGGGGAUAACGUAGGGAAACUUACGCUAAUACCGCAUACGACCUACGGGUGAAAGCAGGGGACCUUCGGGCCUUGCGCGAUUGAAUGAGCCGAUGUCGGAUUAGCUAGUUGGCGGGGUAAAGGCCCACCAAGGCGACGAUCCGUAGCUGGUCUGAGAGGAUGAUCAGCCACACUGGAACUGAGACACGGUCCAGACUCCUACGGGAGGCAGCAGUGGGGAAUAUUGGACAAUGGGCGCAAGCCUGAUCCAGCCAUACCGCGUGGGUGAAGAAGGCCUUCGGGUUGUAAAGCCCUUUUGUUGGGAAAGAAAUCCAGCCGGCUAAUACCUGGUUGGGAUGACGGUACCCAAAGAAUAAGCACCGGCUAACUUCGUGCCAGCAGCCGCGGUAAUACGAAAGGGUGCAAGCGUUACUCGGAAUUACUGGGCGUAAAGCGUGCGUAG